AGGCCUAACACAUGCAAGUCGAGCGGAUGAGGGGAGCUUGCUCUCUGAUUCAGCGGCGGACGGGUGAGUAAUGCCUAGGAAUCUGCCCAGUAGUGGGGGACAACGUUUCGAAAGGAACGCUAAUACCGCAUACGUCCUACGGGAGAAAGUGGGGGAUCUUCGGACCUCACGCUAUUGGAUGAGCCUAGGUCGGAUUAGCUAGUUGGUAGGGUAACGGCCUACCAAGGCGACGAUCCGUAACUGGUCUGAGAGGAUGAUCAGUCACACUGGAUUGA
rnacentral:rRNA from 1 species